rnacentral:miRNA from 1 species
UGCAGAGCGCUGUCCGAUAAUG